UCUUGUUUUAGAAGCUGUGGAAAAUAGCCAAAUUAAAGAAGGAGAGCAGUAAUAUUGGGGAUGGCAGGAGUGAAGACUUCUUAAGCAGAGUGGAGAGAGUGACGUGUGGGAUGGACCAGCUUGAAAUGAAAGACCCCCACCAUCAUCCACCCUCUGACUUGCUUCAGUACAAAGUGCACAGAGAGAAGGAAGUGGAUUAUGGAUUAUUUGUGAUAACUCCAGGUUGGGACUAUUUCCUGUGGCCGUGCAACCUGCACUCAAGGAUAUUGUGGCAUGGCUUCCUAUAUCAACCAGCUACACAGGACCUUGGGAGAGAAAAGCUUGCGCUGCUUGAGAACUGAAAAGAACAGAAGUACUGGUAUGAUUUAAAAACGAAUUUUUAUGUUAAUAAUUGUGAAUAAGCACGAUACAUUUAUUUGUCCAUGUAUAUAGCCUCUGGAAAACAUAAUGUCAUACAAGCUGCUUUGGGGUUACUUUAAGUGUCUUCUCUUGCUUUAGACCACUAACCUCCAUAUGCCUUUGUUCCCACCAUUCUGAAGUCAGAAAGUCAUCAAAAACUUAUGUGAGUUUCUAAAAUAUCCCUCAAAUUAUUGUCUGGGCCAAUUGAAA